CAGCAGCCGCGGGAAUACGUAGGGUGCGAGCGUUAAUCGGAAUUACUGGGCGUAAAGCGUGCGCAGGCGGUUCGUUAAGACAGAUGUGAAAUCCCCGGGCUUAACCUGGGAACUGCAUUUGUGACUGGCGGGCUAGAGUAUGGCAGAGGGGGGUAGAAUUCCACGUGUAGCAGUGAAAUGCGUAGAGAUGUGGAGGAAUACCGAUGGCGAAGGCAGCCCCCUGGGCCAAUACUGACGCCCAUGCACGAAAGCGUGGGGAGCAAACAGGAUUAGAUACCCCGGUAGUCCUGUCUCUUAUACA
rnacentral:rRNA from 1 species